rnacentral:rRNA from 1 species
AGUGAACGCUGGCGGUAGGCCUAACACGUGCAAGUCGAACGGCGGCACAGGAGAGCUUGCUCUCUGGGUGGCGAGCGGCGGACGGGUGAGGAAUACAUCGGAAUCUACUCUGUCGUGGGGGAUAACGUAGGGAAACUUACGCUAAUACCGCAUACGACCUACGGGUGAAAGCAGGGGACCUUCGGGCCUUGCGCGAUUGAAUGAGCCGAUGUCGGAUUAGCUAGUUGGCGGGGUAAAGGCCCACCAAGGCGACGAUCCGUAGCUGGUCUGAGAGGAUGAGCAGCCACACUGGAACUGAGACACGGUCCAGACUCCUACGGGAGGCAGCAGUGGGGAAUAUUGGACAAUGGGCGCAAGCCUGAUCCAGCCAUACCGCGUGGGUGAAGAAGGCCUUCGGGUUGUAAAGCCCUUUUGUUGGGAAAGAAAUCCAGCUGGCUAAUACCCGGUUGGGAUGACGGUACCCAAAGAAUAAGCACCGGCUAACUUCGUGCCAGCCGCCGCCGUAA